rnacentral:rRNA from 1 species
GAUGAACGCUGGCGGCGUGCUUAACACAUGCAAGUCGAACGAAACAUUUGCGACAGAUUUUUUCGGAAUGAAGUUGCUUAUGACUGAGUGGCGGACGGGUGAGUAACGCGUGGGUAACCUGCCUUGUACUGGGGGAUAGCAGCUGGAAACGGCUGGUAAUACCGCAUAAGCGCACAAUGUUGCAUGACAUGGUGUGAAAAACUCCGGUGGUAUAAGAUGGACCCGCGUCUGAUUAGCUAGUUGGUGAGAUAACAGCCCACCAAGGCGACGAUCAGUAGCCGACCUGAGAGGGUGACCGGCCACAUUGGGACUGAGACACGGCCCAGACUCCUACGGGAGGCAGCAGUGGGGAAUAUUGCACAAUGGAGGAAACUCUGAUGCAGCGACGCCGCGUGAGUGAAGAAGUAAUUCGUUAUGUAAAGCUCUAUCAGCAGGGAAGAUAGUGACGGUACCUGACUAAGAAGCUCCGGCUAAAUACGUG